rnacentral:rRNA from 1 species
AUCAUUAAUUAUGUUAAAGCGCCUUACCUUAGGGUUUCCUCUGGGGUAAGUGAUUGCUUCUACACUGUGAAAAUUUGGCUGAGAGACUCAGACUGGUCAUGGGUAGACCUAUCUGGGGUUUGAUCGAUGCCACUCCUGGUUUCAGGAGUACCCUUCAUAAUAAACCUAGAAAUUCAGUAUUAUAAAGUUUAAUAAAAAACAACUUUUAACAAUGGAUCUCUUGGUUCUCGCAUCGAUGAAGAACGUAGCAAAGUGCGAUAACUAGUGUGAAUUGCAUAUUCAGUGAAUCAUCGAGUCUUUGAACGCAGCUUGCACUCUAUGGUUUUUCUAUAGAGUACGCCUGCUUCAGUAUCAUCACAAACCCACACAUAACAUUUGUUUAUGUGGUGAUGGGUCGCAUCGCUGUUUUAUUACAGUGAGCACCUAAAAUGUGUGUGAUUUUCUGUCUGGCUUGCUAGGCAGGAAUAUUACGCUGGUCUCAGGAUCUUUUUUUUUGGUUCGCCCAGGAAGUAAAGUACAAGAGUAUAAUCCAGUAACUUUCAAACUAUGAUCUGAAGUCAGGUGGGAUUACCCGCUGAACUUAAGCAUAUCAAUAAGCGGAGGAAAAGAAAAUAACAAUGAUUUCCCUAGUAACGGCGAGUGAAGAGGAAAGAGCUCAAAGUUGGAACCUGUUUGGCCUAGCUAAACCGGAUUGUAGWCUGUAGAAGWGUUUYCCAGGCAAGCCKAG